GCAGAUCCAAGGUUGCGAUGCUCGCUACAAACAGGAUGACCACUGGAUCAUCUUUUCUUGCGAGCGGGCCAAGGUCUGAGUAUUUCAAUCCCCCUCGACCGACUCUUGCCGGAUCCGAACACCAUCGUUCGAGCCGCGUACCAGAAAGUCAAGCAGCGCCAUCUGAUUUCUUCCUUCGUGGCGGAUUCAUCCCGAAGACCCCGUUCAGACGGGUGAGGGACGUGGUGACAUGCUUUUGGGAAGCGUGGCGGGGAUUGGGUGAUCGAGUCCAUCUUGUCUCGAUGCUGUCAUCGACGAGAUCGGUUACCCUUAAGCUCAAUUUGCGGCGCACCAAGCAUGAGCACUCAUUUGAGUUGUUCUGGUGUAACUCGAUUCAGACUACUCUGGAUCUGC
rnacentral:RNase_P_RNA from 2 species